rnacentral:rRNA from 1 species
GAGGAAUAUUGGGCAAUGCCCGCACGGGUGACCCAGCAACGCCGCGUGGAGGAUGAAUGUCGUAAGAUUGUAAACUCCUGUUAGAGGGGAAGAAUAGUACCGGUUGGACCGGUAUAUGACUGUACCCUCAGAGAAAGCCCCGGCUAACUACGUGCCAGCAGCCGCGGUAAUACGUAGGGGGCAAGCGUUGUCCGGAUUUACUGGGUGUAAAGGGCGCGCAGGCGGGAUAAAAAGUCAGUGGUGAAAUCCUACAGCUUAACUGUAGAACUGCCUUUGAUACUUUUAUUCUUGAGUUCGGGAGAGAGAGACGGAAUUCCAGGUGUAGUGGUGAAAGACGUAGAUAUCUGGAAGAACACCAGUUGCGAAGGCGGUCUCUUGGUCCGACACUGACGCUGAGGCGCGAAAGCGUGGGGAGCAAACA